rnacentral:rRNA from 1 species
GACGAACGCUGGCGGCGUGCCUAAUACAUGCAAGUAGAACGCACAGUUUAUACCGUAGCUUGCUACACCAUAGACUGUGAGUUGCGAACGGGUGAGUAACGCGUAGGUAACCUGCCGGGUAGCGGGGGGUAACUAUUGGAAACGAUAGCUAAUACCGCAUAAUAUUAAUUAUUGCAUGAUAAUUAAUUGAAAGGUGCAAUUGCAGCACUACCAGCGGGACCUGCGUUGUAUGAGCUAGUAGGCGAGGUAACGGCUCACCUAGGCGACGAUACAUAGCCGACCUGGGGGGGUGAACGGCCACACUGGGAAUGAGACACGGCCCAGACCUCCACGGGAGGCAGCAGUAGGGGAACUUCGGAAAAGGACGAAAGUCUGAACCAGCAAAGCCGGGUGAGUGAAGGAGGUCUUCGGAUCGGAAAAGUCUGUUGUAAGGGAAGAACGGGUGUGAGGGUGGAAAGUUCACAUUGUGACGGUAUCUUAACAGAAAGGGCCGGCUAACUACGUG